rnacentral:rRNA from 1 species
AGUGAACGCUGGCGGUAGGCCUAACACAUGCAAGUCGAACGGCAGCACAGGAGAGCUUGCUCUCUGGGUGGCGAGUGGCGGACGGGUGAGGAAUACAUCGGAAUCUGCCCAGUCGUGGGGGAUAACGUAGGGAAACUUACGCUAAUACCGCAUACGACCUUCGGGUGAAAGAGGGGGAUCGCAAGACCUCUCGCGCUUGGAUGAGCCGAUGUCGGAUUAGCUAGUUGGCGGGGUAAUGGCCCACCAAGGCGACGAUCCGUAGCUGGUCUGAGAGGAUGAUCAGCCACACUGGAACUGAGACACGGUCCAGACUCCUACGGGAGGCAGCAGUGGGGAAUAUUGGACAAUGGGCGCAAGCCUGAUCCAGCCAUACCGCGUGGGUGAAGAAGGCCUUCGGGUUGUAAAGCCCUUUUGUUGGGAAAGAAAUCGUUCAGGCUAAUACCCUGGGAGGAUGACGGUACCCAAAGAAUAAGCACCGGCUAACUUCGUG